rnacentral:tRNA from 1 species
GGCGAUGUAGCUCAGGGGUAGAGCACUUGCCUAGCAUGUAUGAGGCUCUGGGUUCAAACCCUACCACUGCCC